rnacentral:tRNA from 1 species
GGGUUUUGUCGCCAAGAGGCAAGGCAUCAGACUUUGAUUCUGACAUUCGUAGGUUCGAAUCCUACCAACCCA